GGCCUCCUGGUUCUUACCACAGGCUGUGUUCUUGUGCUGACUGUGUAGAAAAAAGAGGCAGAGUGAGCCUACCCCAUAUACAUCUCAGUUCAGGCCUUGUGCCUGGUCUGAAUGGUGAAUGAGGGGACAUGG
rnacentral:snoRNA from 1 species